UAGGGAAUCUUCCACAAUGGACGCAAGUCUGAUGGAGCAACGCCGCGUGAGUGAAGAAGGUUUUCGGAUCGUAAAGCUCUGUUGUUGGUGAAGAAGGAUAGAGGCAGUAACUGGUCUUUAUUUGACGGUAAUCAACCAGAAAGUCACGGCUAACUACGUGCCAGCAGCCGCGGUAAUACGUAGGUGGCAAGCGUUGUCCGGAUUUAUUGGGCGUAAAGCGAGCGCAGGCGGAAUGAUAAGUCUGAUGUGAAAGCCCACGGCUCAACCGUGGAACUGCAUCGGAAACUGUCAUUCUUGAGUUCAGAAGAUGAUAGUGGAAUUCCAUGUGUAGCGGUGGAAUGCGUAGAUAUAUGGGAGAACACCAGUGGCGAAGGCGGCUCUCUGGUCUGCAACUGACGCUGAGGCUCGAAAGCAUGGGUAGCGAACAGG
rnacentral:rRNA from 1 species